CCUACGGGAGGCAGCAGUGGGGAAUAGUGGACAAUGGGGGAAACCCUGAUCCAGCGACGCCGCGUGAGUGAAGAAGGAUUUCGGUACGUAAAGCUCUAUCAGCAGGAAAGAAAAUGACGGUACCUGACGAAGAAGCCCCGGCUAACGACGGGCCAGCAGCCGCGGGAAGACGGAGGGGGCAAGCGUUAGCCGGAUUUACUGGGUGGACAGGGAGCGGAGACGGCAGCGCAAGACUGGAGUGAAAUGCCGGGGCCCAACCCCGGAACUGCUCUGGAAACUGUGAAGCUGGAGUGCAGGAGAGGUAAGCGGAAUUCCUGGUUUAGCGGUGCAAUGCGUAGAUAUCGGGCG
rnacentral:rRNA from 1 species